UGGUGGUGGUGGUGUAAGCGGCUAAAGUCACAGCCACAACCAUUGCAGUAGUCCGAUUGUCAGCAACAGCAUCGAACAUUUAAUCUUUUUGCUUUCUUACCUAUUUCCCAUUUAUGUAUUUUAAUUUUUUUGGUGCUGGAGCCACACACUAAGCGCUGACUGAACAGGCAGGCGCUUCAUUAAGCUGAGAGUCCGACUUUUACCUUCAGUUACAGACGAGUUUCACAGCAGUGCGGUUCAAAUCGAUCGUGGUUGAGGUUUGUGCAUUCGACUCAGAAAAUAAUUGCAGUGCGAAAAGUGGCCGGAGAAACAUAAAAGAAAUUGUGAAAUUGUGAAAGUUCAUUGAAAUUACGACCGGAAAUAAAUACAAAUCAUACACACACACACAGAAAUGCAUAAGUGGCAAAAAAGUGUUUGAUGAAUAACCGAACAACGCAACAAACCAAUAAAAGAUAACCAACCUGAUAAAAAGAAGUACGCGAAAUUGUUGUAAUAAAGGAUUUACACAAAAUAA